rnacentral:sRNA from 1 species
UGCUUGCAUGUGAGAUGAGAGACAAGGU